GGCUAGACCAUUGUUCUGCCUUCUGCCGUAGGUCAGGUGGAUGUUUCAGCUCACAGACGGAUGGCCUGACACAGAGCAGAAUUCAACGUCCCUUCUAUUAAGGUGAAAAUCAUCACUCCCCAAUCAGUCACCAAUCAAUCAUCAAUCAGAAGACACACCUCCUCCUGUUUCCUACCCAAUCACAGUUCCUUUCCCUUGGUUUAAAAACCCUGUCAGUUGUUUGCUCUGGAGCUCAAUCUCUCUGUAAAUGCCAUAUGUCUGUAGAUCGCUAGGGUUCACUCGCGCCUACGAUGGCUAUCUCUCUUUAUGUAUUGAGCUCUCUUUUGUUUGAGCAUCUCCAUAUCACUUUGUCCUCACCUGUGAGUAUUGCUUUUUUUGUUAUGGUGUUUUUUUGCUGGUGGGAAAAGGGGGAACCAAGACAAGUCGCCCAUGGGCAUACACUACCUGUAGGUAAACUUUGUCAAAAACACUAGUUAGAACUGGGCGGACCACCCACUGUAUUUUUGGUUAGUUAGCUAGCUGUUGAAAUAGGCUAGUCUAGCUUAGGGGUGUUUUUUGAAUACUUAUUAUUUCUUUCCUUGGGUCCAGCUCAGCCCCUUUUCCUGCUCCCCCCAUUACCGUGUGUUUUCUAAAAAACCAUGUGUUUGACGGUAAUUUAGUUGUCUGUGGUUGUCGUUCUCACUUUUUCACUUAUAAUUUGCAUGAGUUAUGUUACGGGUCUUGUUACAUCUCCCCUAGACUGUCGGGCCAAAAGGGAUUCGUAACGAUCAUUAUACUUAAUUUCAUAUUAAAUGUGUCACGACUUCCGCCGAAGUCGGUUCCUCGCCUUGUUUGGGUGGCGGUAGUCACCGGUCUUCUAGCCAUCACCGAUCCACCUUUCAUUUCCAUUUGUUUUGUCUUUUCCCACACACCUGUUUUACAUUUCCCUCAUUACUUGUGUAUUUAACCCUCUGUUCCCCCCAUGUCUGGGUGAAAUUGUUUGUAAGUGCUUGUGCACAUUUUAACUGGUGGCGACGGGUUUUGUACCCAUAUUUUGUAUUUCUGGAUGCCG
ensembl:lncRNA